rnacentral:rRNA from 1 species
GACGAACGCUGGCGGCGUGCUUAACACAUGCAAGUCGAACGGAAAGGCCCUGCUUUUGUGGGGUGCUCGAGUGGCGAACGGGUGAGUAACACGUGAGUAACCUGCCCUGGACUUUGGGAUAACUUCAGGAAACUGGGGCUAAUACCGGAUAGGAGCUCCUGCUGCAUGGUGGGGGUUGGAAAGUUUCGGCGGUUGGGGAUGGACUCGCGGCUUAUCAGCUUGUUGGUGGGGUAGUGGCUUACCAAGGCCUUGACGGGUAGCCGGCCUGAGAGGGUGACCGGCCACAUGGGGACUGAGAUACGGCCCAGACUCCUACGGGAGGCAGCAGUGGGGAAUAUUGCACAAUGGGCGGAAGCCUGAUGAAGCAACGCCGCGUGCGGGAUGACGGCCUUCGGGUUGUAAACCGCUUUCGCCUGUGACGAAGCGUGAGUGACGGUAAUGGGUAAAGAAGCACCGGCUAACUACGUG